rnacentral:rRNA from 1 species
GUUAUAUGUGUCAUACGAGACGUGGCCGGUAAAAAGCCGGAGGAAGGUGAGGAUGAUGUCAAGUCAGCAUGACCUUUAUAUCCAGGGCUACACACACGCUACAAUGGUCUGUACAAUGGGUAGCCAAGCCGCGAGGCGGAGCCAAUCCUGAAAGCAGGCCUCAGUUCAGAUUGCAGUCUGCAACUCGACUGCAUGAAGCCGGAGUUGCUAGUAACCGCAGGUCAGCAAUACUGCGGUGAAUACGUUCCCGGGUCUU